rnacentral:rRNA from 1 species
GGUUAAGCGACUAAGCGUACACGGUGGAUGCCCUGGCAGUCAGAGGCGAUGAAGGGCGUGCUAAUCUGCGAUAAGCGCCGGUAAGGUGAUAUGAACCGUUAUAACCGGCGAUACCCGAAUGGGGAAACCCAGUGUGACUCGUCACACUAUCAUUAACUGAAUCCAUAGGUUAAUGAGGCGAACCGGGGGAACUGAAACAUCUAAGUACCCCGAGGAAAAGAAAUCAACCGAGAUUCCCCCAGUAGCGGCGAGCGAACGGGGAGGAGCCCAGAGCCUGAAUCAGCAUGUGUGUUAGUGGAAGCGUCUGGAAAGGCGCGCGAUACAGGGUGACAGCCCCGUACACAAAAGCGCAUGUGCUGUGAGCUCGAUGAGUAGGGCGGGACACGUACACGU